rnacentral:rRNA from 1 species
GAUGAACGCUGGCGGCGUGCCUAAUACAUGCAAGUCGAGCGAACGGACGAGAAGCUUGCUUUUCUGAUGUUAGCGGCGGACGGGCGAGUAACACGUGGAUAACCUACCUAUAAGACUGGGAUAACUUCGGGGAACCGGAGCUAAUACCGGAUAAUAUUUUGAACCGCAUGGUUCAAAAGUGAAAGACGGUCUUGCUGUCACUUAUAGAUGGAUCCGCGCUGCAUUAGCUAGUUGGUAAGGUAACGGCUUACCAAGGCAACGAUGCAUAGCCGACCUGAGAGGGUGAUCGGCCACACUGGAACUGAGACACGGUCCAGACUCCUACGGGAGGCAGCAGUAGGGAAUCUUCCGCAAUGGGCGAAAGCCUGACGGAGCAACGCCGCGUGAGUGAUGAAGGUCUUCGGAUCGUAAAACUCUGUUAUUAGGGAAGAACAUAUGUGUAAGUAACUGUGCACAUCUUGACGGUACCUAAUCAGAAAGCCACGGCUAACUACGUG